AUUAUGAGGCAAAUGUCAGUAUAAACUUGAAAUUUCAUCAGCCUUGUCCGACUUCUUCUUUGUUCGUGAUUCAGAGGUCUUUGUCGCCUUUUGCUUCUGAAAAAUAAAAGUCACACUGGUUUUAGGGAUUGUUUCGGCGUUGUCGCACUUCUAAUUUGUUGAAAUAAGCAUGCCGAGGAACGCGAUUUCUGACGAUGAAGAUGAUCAUGAGCUCGAGGAUGAGGACGGAGAGCCAGUUCUGGGAGAUGAACACGGUGAUAACGAUGAUGAAGAAGAUGAUGAUGAUGACGGUACACGUUUUGCCCUUGAUU